rnacentral:rRNA from 1 species
GACGAACGCUGGCGGCGUGCUUAACACAUGCAAGUCGAACGGUGAAGCCCCUUCCUUUUUGGUGGGUGUUGUUGAGUGGCGAACGGUUGAGUAACACUUGAGUAACCUGCCCCUUUCUUCUGGAUAACCGCAUGAAAGUUUGGCUAAUACGGGAGAUUCUGGGUCUGUCUCAUGAUUGGUCUGGGUAAGAUAUUGUUUCGGUGGGGGAUGGUCUCGCGGCCUAUCAGCUUGUUGGUGGGGUGAGGGGCUACCAGGGCGGUGACGGGUAGCAGGCCUGAGAGGGUGGACGGCCACACUGGGACUGAGACACGGCUCAGACUCAUACGGGAGGCAGCAGUGGGGAAUAUGGAACAGUGGGCGCAAGCGUGAUGCAGCGAGGACGCGUGAGGGAUGGAGGCGUUCGGGUUGUGAACCUCUUUCGCUAGUGAAGCAGUCCUGCCUCGUUUGUGGGUGGGUUGACGGUAGCUGGAUAAGAAGCGCCGGCUAACUACGUG